ensembl:lncRNA
AUUAGGCCUUAGCUGUGGCAUAUUCUAUGAAUUGCUUUUUCCGUAGAAACUAACUGAAUCUGUAUCUAUGCCCUUAAUAAAGAGAAAUUUAGAUGAACUGUCCCCUUGUGAUGCCCCCUGAAUUUCAGAAGUGAAAUUUGGAUCUUCUCAGUCUGAGAGAACGCAUAGCACUUUCAGAGUUAUCAGGAACCUGUCAGAACCAUUAUGGUCAUCUAUAAGUGUUUUUCUAAACGCUGCUGUUCAUGGGGUCUGAUGUUUGCACUGGAGUGGUGGAAGGCAAUGUGUGUGUGUCAUUCACUCAGACACCAUUUUAUCGGGCACUUACUAUGUGUCAGAUACUGGGGUAAAAGGAUAAGUAUAACUUGGUUCUUGCCCUUAAGAGGUAUUUGGGAAAAAAGGAAAUGGGUAUUAAAAGAAUUACUGUAAUGCAUGGAGAUACACUGUUGUAAUGUAUGUAAGAGCAUAUACAGAUAGGGAGGGUCUCCAGGGACAAUGGAGUCUAAUCAACUUGAGCAAUCAGUCUGUUUUAUGGCCUCCUGCCCUGCAGCCUAUGUGGAAUGCAGUCACCUUGUUGGUUUAAACUGGCUUCUGACAGACCCUGGCAACUUAGAGAUGAACCCAAGCGAACUUUCCUCAUUACCAUGCCAAAGUCUCCACUUGGCAAGGAGCUAUACCUGUAUUACCAUGACAUGCAACCCGUGCACUGGCAUCAUGCCAUGUCUAUGUAACUGGGACCCCUCCUCUACCUGCCAUGAUGCACCAUCUCCCUUCUCCAUUGCCCCAUAAAACCCUCCUGUUACCUGCCCUCUGAGAGACACUGCUUUGGAGAGCACGCUUAGUGUCCUUCUUACUUGCACCAAGUAAUAAAAUUCUUAUUGAUCAAAACCUGCAUUCUCAGAGAGUUACUCACCAGCUGAACACAUUUUUAUUGAGGGUCACAGAGGUCCUGAAGAGCUGGGAAUUGGAUAUAAUCAGAGGCGUCAUGGAUGAUGCCACAGAGUGUGUGAAGUUAGGGCUAAAAUUUAGUAAGACUUGGCAGCAAAAGGGAGAAGGCAUUUCAGUGAUAGCAACACCCAAAGGCACAGGGCAAGUAUGGAGAAUGAGGGCAUGGGUGAAGGGACUGGUGAAAAUCACAUUAAAAGAUCCAGGGCGGCUGCACCAAAUCUGCGGGCACCUUCACGUAGACUGGGAUGAGAGAGCUGCUCUCAGGAGUGUGCAGUGCAGGAGCUCCAUCCAGACCCGCCUCACUCUAUACCCUAAUACCUUACUGGGUCUGUUUCUCACCUGCAAACUGGCAAUCAUAGUAACUAUUUUGUUUACAUCUUUGUGUGAUUGAUCAUGAUAAUACAGCCCAUCCUCACGGUCUGUGGAUUCUGUAUUUGCAUUUGCCUGCUCACUAAAAUGUAUCUGUAGCCCCCAAAUCAAGACUCACUGUGCUCUCUUGGUUAUUUGCAGAGUUCUGAAGAAUUGGAAUUCCUGAUGGGCACUUUUCAGCCGAGGUCCCCACAGGGAGACCCUGUUUUCCUGUGUCAGCUCUCAUACUAUAAGCAAGUGUUACAGGGUCUAUUUAGUGCUACGAUUUUCAUGUUUUUGUUCUUUUUUGUUGGUGAUUUCACUGUUAAAAUAGCCUCCAAGCUUACUGAUAAAGUGUUGUCUAGUAUUCCUGAGCAAUAGAAGUCUGUGAUGUGCCUUAUGGGAAAAAUAUGUGUGUCAGAAAAGCUGCUUUUGUACUCUUGGCUGGGAGUUCAGUGUUAGUGAAUCAAUAAUAUACAUUACACAAAAUGUUUAUAAAUGGAAAAACACAUAAAAUAAGGUUAUGUAUUAACCAAUUGAUGAAAAUAUUGUUAACAGAGGCUCGCAGGAACCUACCCUGUAUUACCUCUCAGAGUGAUGGUUCGGUAUUCACUAAGUCAGUUUUUGCGGCAACUUUCUAGAACAUAAAAGCCUACUGUGAAUAACAAGAAUCAGCGGUAUAGAUAUGAUCUUCAUGGAGCAAUGGGUUCGAGAACUUUACAUGCAUACGUUUAUCUCCUUUAACUGUGAAAAUGGCCCAAUGAGGUAGAUGCUAUAAUGAUUUCCCUUUUACAGAUGAGAAAACAAGUUCGAAGGGGUUAAAAAUCCUGGCCUGAUGUUACUCAGCAGACUGGGGAGCCAAGGCGAGGACCAGGGCGUUUUGUAACCCAGAGUCCCGGGGUUUCUGGAUAUUUACCCUGUGAAAAAUUACCCACUUGUAACUUUUGCACCUUCAGUUCUCGUUUCAAAAAGUUUCAGCAAGAAGAGAUGCCAGAGCUAGAGAUAAACUUGGCUAACGCUCCUCAUUACCAUCGCUAAAAACCCCUUCUGGGGAACUUUAUUCACCGUUUUUCACACCUGCAACAUAGAGAGAGGCACGAUCGAAGACUGCCCAUGCUGCCCUCCGCCCACCUCUGCAUGUAGAAGCUUCGUGUUCACCCGUGUUCAGAGAAGCAGCGCUUUGGGAAACUAUCCCCAGUGUCUUCCUUCCUUCUUAUUAAUUGUUGCAAGUAAUAAAAUCCC